GAUGAAGAACGUAGCGAAAUGCGAUAAGUAAUGUGAAUUGCAGAACUCAGUGAAUCAUCGAGUCUUUGAACGCACAUUGCGCCCCCUGGUAUUCCGGGGGGCAUGCCUGUCCGAGCGUCAUUGCUGCCCUCAAGCACGGCUUGUGUGUUGGGCCUCCGUCCUCCUCCCGGGGGACGGGCCCGAAAGGCAGCGGCGGCACCGCGUCCGGUCCUCGAGCGUAUGGGGCUUCGUCACCCGCUCUUGUAGGCCCGGCCGGCGCUUGCCGACACAUCAAUCUUUUUUCCAGGUUGACCUCGGAUCAGGUAGGGAUACCCGCUGAACUUAAGCAUAUCAAUAAGCGGAGG
rnacentral:misc_RNA from 1 species